CUUAAUUCCAGUCUUAAUUAUAAGGAAUUCGGCAAAAAAUUAAUUCGCCUGUUUAACAAAAACAUGUCGUUUUGAUAAAACAUAAAAAGUCUAAUCUGCUCAGUGAAAAUUUUAAAUAGCCGCAGUAUUCUAACUGUGCAAAGGUAGCAUAAUAAUUUGUUCUUUAAUUUAGGACUGGAAUAAAUGAUUUGACGAGAUUAAGACUGUCUUAUAAUUAUUAAUUAUUGAAUUUAAUUUUUGAGUUAAAAAGCUUAAAUUUCAUUAGAGGACGAGAAGACCCUAUAGAGUUUUAUAAUUAAAUUUAUUUUAUUAAUUAAUUUAUUUUUAUGAAAUAAAUAUAAUUAUUUUGUUAGGGUGAUAAUUAAAUUUAAUAAACUUUUUAUUUUGUUUUACAUUAAUUAAUGAAUUUUUGAUCCUAUAUUUUAGAUUAUUCGAUUAAAUUACCUUAGGGAUAACAGCGUUAUUUUUUUUAAAGUUCUUAUUGACAUAAAAAAUUGCGACCUCGAUGUUGGAUUAAAAUUUAUUUUGGGUGUAGAAGCUUAAAAAUUUAGGUCUGUUCGACCUUUAAAAUUUUACGUGAUCUGAGUUCAAACCGGUUUAAGCCAGGUUGGUUUCUAUCCUUAAUUUUAUUAAAAAUUUUUAGUACGAGAGGACCAUAAUUUUGAAUUAUUAUAAUUUUAUUUAAAAUGAAUUUUAUUAAAUUUGUUAA
rnacentral:lncRNA from 1 species